AUACUAAGCUGCGUACAGGCUGGAGAGAAUCGGAGAGAUGAUGCUGGUAACGGGCUCUUCAAGGUCCCACUAGUUUUUUGGGUCCCUAAGUCCGAGGGAUAAGUUCCCUUAUCGUGCUUCGAGACUCGUUUCCCCGCGCAGUCUCAUCUUUCCGAUACGUGUAAGUCAUUCUUAGGGUUUUUGAUUUUGUUUCCCUAUUUUUGCUGCUUGGACUUUUGGGUUUCCUUUUCUUUCUCACCGAAAUCUCGCGCGAUCUCUACUGCUCAGGCCUAGGUCUUCGUUUUCUCGGGUAACACUCUUUUUCUCCUCAUCCUUUACUCCGAACCUUCUAGGAUGA
rnacentral:lncRNA from 1 species